UGCAAGUCGAGCGAACAGAUGAAGUGCUUGCACUUCUGACGUUAGCGGCGAACGGGUGAGUAACACGUAAGGAAUCUACCUAUAAGCGGGGGAUAACAUUCGGAAACGGGUGCUAAUACCGCAUAAUAUCUUCUUCCGCAUGGAAGGAGAUUGAAAGACGGCUCUGCUGUCACUUAUAGAUGACCUUGCGGUGCAUUAGUUAGUUGGUGGGGUAACGGCCUACCAAGACGAUGAUGCAUAGCCGACCUGAGAGGGUGAUCGGCCACAUUGGGACUGAGACACGGCCCAAACUCCUACGGGAGGCAGCAGUAGGGAAUCUUCCGCAAUGGGCGAAAGCCUGACGGAGCAAUGCCGCGUGAGUGAAGAAGGCCUUCGGGUCGUAAAACUCUGUUAUAAGAGAAGAACAAAUUGUAGAGUAACUGCUACAGUCUUGACGGUAUCUUAUCAGAAAGCCACGGCUAACUACGUGCCAGCAGCCGCGGUAAUACGUAGGUGGCAAGCGUUGUCCGGAUUUAUUGGGCGUAAAGGGAGCGCAGGUGGUUUCUUAAGUCUGAUGUGAAAGCCCACGGCUUAACCGUGGAGGGUCAUUGGAAACUGGGAAACUUGAGUACAGAAGAGGAAUGUGGAACUCCAUGUGUAGCGGUGGAAUGCGUAGAUAUAUGGAAGAACACCAGUGGCGAAGGCGACAUUCUGGUCUGUUACUGACACUGAGGCUCG
rnacentral:rRNA from 1 species